GAUGAAGAACGCAGCGAAAUGCGAUAAGUAAUGUGAAUUGCAGAAUUCAGUGAAUCAUCGAAUCUUUGAACGCACCUUGCGCCCUUUGGCCAUUCCGAAGGGCAUGCCUGUUUGAGUAUCAUGAACACCUCAACUCUUCAUGGUUUUCCAUGAUGAGCUUGGACUUUGGGGGUCUUGCUGGCCUACGGUCGGCUCCUCUAAAAUAAAUCAGCUUGCCAGUGUUUGGUGGGUAUCGCAGGUGUGAUAACUAUCUACGCUUGUGGUUUUCCACCAAGUAACCUUCAGCAGUGGAGGUUCACUGGAGCUCACAGAUGUGUCUCUCCUCAGUGAGGGACAGCUCUUUGAAUGUUUGAUCUCAAAUCAGGUAGGACUACCCGCUGAACUUAAGCAUAUCAAUAAGCGGAGGA
rnacentral:misc_RNA from 1 species